UACGUAGGGGGCAAGCGUUGUUCGGAAUUACUGGGCGUAAAGGGCGCGUAGGCGGCCCGGCACGUCGGGCGUGAAAGGCCUGGGCUCAACCGAGGAACUGCUUUCGAGACUGCCGAGCUAGAGUGCGGAAGGGGCAACUGGAAUUCCCAGUGUAGCGGUGAAAUGCGUAGAUAUUGGGAAGAACACCUGAGGCGAAGGCGGGUUGCUGGGCCGACACUGACGCUGAGGCGCGAAAGCCAGGGGAGCAAACGGG
rnacentral:rRNA from 1 species